rnacentral:rRNA from 1 species
UACAGAGGGUGCAAGCGUUGCUCGGAAUCAUUGGGCGUAAAGGGCAAGUAGGUGGUCUCAUUUGUCUCGUGUGAAAUCCUUGGGCUUAACCCAAGAAGUGCGCGAGAAACGGUGAGACUAGAGUUCUGGAGAGGGUCGUGGAAUUCCCGGUGUAGCGGUGAAAUGCGUAGAGAUCGGGAGGAACACCAGAGGCGAAGGCGGCGACCUGGACAGACACUGACACUCAACUGCGAAAGCGUGGGGAGCAAACAGG